UAAGAUGGUGGACCAGUAUUUACAACUCGUAAAACACACACAUCAUGCAAUAACACCUUACACAUACUUAUAUAAUUACUUGACUCUUUUGAAUAAGACCAUCCUCAUUAACGACCAAAAAAGUCACGUCAUUAAGCAAUGUCACUAGAGCGUGUUGUUUAUGUCCUCAACAGCACCCUCUCGCCCACAUGUUACCCCGAGACUUCCCGGAGCUGUGGAAUGGACACGAUGAGGAAGGCUUCUCUAGGAACGGUCGUGACCUCAGCCACUUGGGGUCAAAGUUCGAGCACGCCCAGGCCAAGUGACCUUUCUAUCGUGACCUCGCAGCUCCACGAGCUCGAAGGAUGAGCGUGAGAGUGUGGACCAGCGGUGCCGACUACUAGUCCACGAUUGGAUUUAGAACCCUCCAAACACACACCGAAACUACGACGUUGGUACAACGUUCGAACAAGUUUUAACACCUCCUAACCAGUUAUAACAACCAAUAUAGCAAGUUGUAACAACGUUCUAAUACGUCAUAAACACGUUAAGCCAAGAUGUAACAACUUUAUUACAAGUUGUAACAAGCGGAAAAUAGAGACAGUUUCGGUUUGUGUUUCCAGGGAAGAUGGUAACGUUCCAGGGGAAAUACACCUUAUGCAGGCGAUGAGUCACAAUAACGUGGGUAAAGUAU